rnacentral:lncRNA from 1 species
UUCGUGCGCGUUCCCGGUGUGCAUCCGAAUGCGCACAGCAAUUGCGCGUCGUAAGCUGGAGUCGCGUGGUCGAGAGACUUGAGAGUUAGUCGCCGUUACGGCAACGUAAUGUGAGUCGCUCGUGAUGUCACAUUAUUGAUACGGGUGUCCUCUGCAGUUCGGUUGACACGUCGGUAACAGGAACCUUCCGUUCGGUGCAGUUCUGUGGAUAUUUGCCGACAGUGACGAAAAGAACUACCGUUCGAGACAAAAAUUUUGGAAGCUGAUGAACGAUACUCCGUUAGUACGCUCCAAGAUCCAAGAGACGGAAGACCGUCACAUAAAGUGUUGAUAAAGUGCAUUUUCGAGCUACAGUUGAAGAAAAUCCGCAACAGACACUCGAUGAAAUCGCAGGUACAUCAAGCUAACCAAGAAUAACAUUUUUCCGUCACCUGUAUGAAAUGAGAAAGACACCAAAAUGAUUCUUUCCUGAAUAAUUACGAGCGAUGAAAGGUAGAUGUUGCACGCAAAUCCUCGCAAACGACAGUGGUUAUCAGCCGAUGAAAAAAAGCCUGAUAUUCAUGGGAAAAAAGUUUUAUUAUGUUGGUGGAAAACACGAAGAAACGUAAUUCAUCAAGAACUCCUCAAACCUGGUAAAACAAUAAACUCUGAAGUCUACUGUGCUCACUCGUCUGCGUGCAAAAAUUGCAGUAAGGCUGCCUGCAAUAGCCCACAGAAAAGGAGUCUUUUGUCUCUUUCAUGAUAAUACACGGCCUCAUUUUUCACGAAACACGCAACAAAACAUUGGGAAAUUUGGUUGGGAGCUCUUACCUCACCCACCUUAUAGCCCAAAUAUAGCUCCUUCGGAUUACCAUUUCGAUUAAUGCAGCAUUUCUGAGCUGAUAAAAAAUUCAAAACAUUUGAUGAUGUGCAACAUAAUAUCGAUAUAUCGACUCUAAAAAACCGGAAUUUUUCAAAAAUGGUAUCGAUAAUCUAGUUUCCAGAUAGGAAAAAGUUAUAGACAGUGAUUACAUUACUAAUUUUCAGUGCUCUGCUUGCGAUAUUAUUUCAAAGUUCAUCUAUAAAAACGAACAGAUCGAAUUUUUGGAAUGACCUAUCCAAAACAAACAAUUAGUUGUCAGCGUUUGUCGAAGUGACGAAAGCAUAAAAGGAUCCGUAAAAAUUUAAUCCUAAGCUCAAAACGUCUCAUAUCCCGCAGACAGUAUGGAUUUUUAAUAAACUUUCGCUGUAAUAACAUGUUAUUCAGCAGGGAGGAAUGUCUGGAUGAUCACGUGCCAUGAAUAUCAAAGUUCUCCCGGUACAUUCUUCGCACCAAGGUCAUACGAAAUUCCAUUGUUGGAAAUUCCAAUAGAAAUACCGACGACACUCGCAAAGUAAUUCGCGGCUGCAAAGAAAAGCGAUUUUGCGGCGGUACGUGGCCUUCUGAUAGGUCCAACGAAAUCGAUAUUAAGCUACGGUAUGGAGUAGCCGGCCGGUUAUUUGCGCGCUAAAUUACGGCGAGAUUAUUUACGGGUAGCAAUUAACCGAUAGCGUGAUAAAGGUUCGCAAGGUUUCCUGCCAAACCAGGGACCGGAUUAUUGCCACCCUGCAUUAGGUUGUACUCAAGACGAUGCGUAAUACGUUUAUAGGUACAUCAUGCACAAGAGGAUAACCGGCGUGAAGUAAGCAAUCUAGAAUGCAUCACGAAUAACUGCAAAAAUAAAGUGUUUGCACGAGCUUUUCUGCAUCAAGUUGGUCGCCGCGUGCUCGCAUUACUCGGAGCUCCUCGAAUGAAACUCAUAAAAAAUAGAUGCUUCGCUUAAGGUAAAACUUUGGUGCUUUGCAUUAGGCACGUUCGCCAAGUUAACAAGCUGUCGCGUCGCUUCGUGUACUGGGUGUAAUGAAAAAGUAGUAGAUGUGACUCGUGCAUAAACAACGCGUUGUAAUACUUUGCCAGACCGCGUGUUUCAAUCUACGGAUAUCGUGCACCGACGGACACAAGCUGCUCUUGUUGCUCACGAUGACGUUACAGAAUCAAAUCUGGAAAAAGCUGUCCGACGUAAGUCCGCUGUACCACAAAGACGCUGACUAAGCAUUACGAAAAUCUUCGAGGCAAGCGGACCGUGUACAUCUUUGGAAACACAACGAAUACAACGAGAACAAAACCUAGACAACCACAGAAAGUUUUCCAAUUAACUUAUUCUGAAAGAAUUCAGGGCGAUAUAAAAUAAAGCCGCCCCGAACUCGUUCUAUGGAUUUAAUCGAUAUCCGCGUGCUACGCUUCGCGAGCACAGUUGCACGAAAUAUCGCAAAUGAGAUGAUCUGAAAAUCCAAUUAGACGAAAAAUGCACAGUCAUGCAAUAUAAUGGAAACCUUUGAUACUUAAAAGACAAACUACUCACAUAAAAUGUGAAAUAGAAAAUUUUGUCAUAAAACGAUAAUCACGGCGAGACGUUUUGUUUGAUGUGCAACAUUAAUAUUGGAGCACAGCUCUCGUCGUAUCGGAUGUAUCGUUAUGUGUAAACAUAGUAGACCAUAAAAACGAAAUUGCAGCUCUACGCACGUGAAAAAUAGAUGGGUAAAGAUUUUUUUCAGUUUUGGAAAUGAUAUAUUUAUUUACGGUGAUAUAAAGUGAUAGGGACGUUCAAGUUUAUAUUUUUCGCGGGAUGGAAGACGGUAACGUAGUUAGUGUAAAUUUCAUAAAGUGCGUCCGAAGAGUGUGCGAUACUGUAAACUCCGCAGCGACUUAUAUCGAAUUUUCCUGUCUCGACGGCAACCUGUCUCAGCAUAUAACCCAGCUUGCUCUCUCUACGUUCAGCACAAAUCUUAAGGGUACAAGUUUCGCAGAAUAUACCUCUUCUCUCUUAAACUAUUCGUGGUUGCAUGCGGAAUAAUUUAUAUCCGUGUAAAAUAGCUCGCAAACGGUAAGCAAACGACUUUGCAUGAAGAAAAUAACUUUUGUGAAAUUUACGUUUAAUUCAAUUAAUUAGUACAAUAAAGAGAAAAUUAUGCAGAUCCCUGAUCAUGUGUGUUAUUAUCUACUUGUAACAAAUUGUUUAAUGUAUGUAUGCAUGGUUGUAUAAAUCGAGCGAGUCGGUUACAAAACAUUGCAUUACUCGUUUUACGAAAUUUCGCCGAACUCGCAUAAAUGUGCUGUAAUAACGGCCACAUCUUGGGAGCUGCGCAUUGAUAUUAAUUAACGAAUUCUACCGUGAUAAUAAACUGCGUAUUAAUAAAAUGCUGUAUUCGUACCGUAGUAUUUUGCACACAGAUAAUUUUAUCGAUAUCAUCCGCAAUAUAUUAUAUUAUAAUUAUCACUUUAUCAUACGUUAUAGCCGUACGAAAAUGUUCUCAUGCAAACUUUAUUUUAUUAUGUACCCUCGACAGAAGAGAGUUGCCCGUUAUGUCGCUUAUUUAUAAUAUUCACACUGUAUUUAUCAUAAAAACUCAAAACUAUAUUAAGCUCAAAAUAAUUAGUUAUAUUCCGCCAGAGUACUUAAAUAAUGAAAAUUCCUUUAACCGACCAAUCUGGCAAAUUUUAUUAAUUACUAAAUAUACAACGUUUCAACCUUCUGCUUCUGGCUCUUACCAAGUGUCAUAUAAGAACCAGAUUGGUCGGUUAAGGGAAUUUUCAUUAUUUAAGUACUCUGGCGGAAUUUAUUUUGAGCUUAAUAUAGUUUUGAAUUUUAUAAUAAAUACAGUUAAAGGAAUUUUCAUUAGUAUCACAAAUAUAUUAUUGCGCUUAUGUAUCUUUUUAUAUACAAUAAAAUCGUUUCGCCAUUUACGCUAUUUUAUUUGAUACAGGGCUGAUCAACUUGUUACAUCAUAACAUCGGACAAAAGCAUUUUUUAGUUGUUAUAUUUUCAAUUGUAUAUUUUCUCGACAGGUAACAGUAAAAGUAUAAUUGGAUUCAAUUAAUGGCAAUCAGGCAAUGGGCAAUUUAAUAGUCCGGAAAAUAUCGCGUCAAUGGCGCGUAUCGGAGCGUACGGGCGGAGAUGGAUGAAACACAACUAAACACAGCGAGACAUAACGAAGAUUAGUAUUUGUGAUCCUCUUAAGCGAUAUCGAGCGCGUUGCCACGGAAAGUUUAAACUGGACGUCCACCAUCAGCCGGUCGGACUGCUUUUUUUCCGCGCGUGCUGUAGAUAUUUCAGCUCGUGCCUAUAACACCAUGAAUUUUUAAAACGAUAUUUCGCGCCGGUCCGCGCACGGCGGCCGACAGCACACGAAUACACCGACAUACGUACGCGCGAAACUCGUCGCGUUGCAAUUUCGAGCGGACAGCAGAGGAGUUUGGCAAUCGCCGGACGUAGAGCGUUUAAUCGCGAGAUAUCAAUACCGGCAAAUUGGCCGAUAAAUUAUUGCUGCCGUAUCGCUGAUCUGCUCGCGUCCCUUUCUGUGCGCGCAACCGCACGGUUUUCGAUUUUUAUUUUCCCUGUUUUUUUCCAUGUUGCCGCGCGAACUCCGUUCUAGGCGGGUGAAAAACCGACGGAACGGUUUGUUUGCUUUCAUUUUGCUCUUUCGUGUUUUUUUUUCAUUUUUCCUUCCUUUUUGUUUUUGUAUUCUCAUAGUUCUACUAAUCGUGCGCGGGCUACGCAAAAUGAAAUUUGCUCGGCGAAGUGCAAUGGGACAUGAUAAGGCACGCUUAACCGUUUUUGUUAGCGACUCGAGAGAUUAAUAAUGUGAGAGCGUUAUCACGUUAUCAUCGUAAUAUUGAUCCAUUUUUAACGACCCACUGUAUAUUCCACGCAGAUAGUAAAGCGGAAAUAUGCCAAUGCGCGUUCAAAGUUUCCUCAUUUAAGUCAAUAAUGAGAUGCGCAAAGCGAAAAUUUACCAUUUUCGGAUUUUCCGUUUAUUACAAGUGACUCCAUCCAGCGUUAUCGGCUUGUGCGGUAAAUAAUCAAAUAAAAUGUUGUACAUCUAUCUCGUGUGCACCAUAAGUUUUAGUUUGAUAGAGCUUUAUUUAACAAUCGUAGUAUUUAUAUAAUCAGUAAUUUAUUAAGAGAAAACGCUGAUUUAAUUUAACUUUUAAAACUUUUUCAGCAAUUUUGUUAUACUGCUUUUGUUUUGCUACUUCAAUAUUAAUGUAUAACUUGUUUAAUAAUUCUAACAGCAUUUUCGAGCUUAACUCGCAUUUUCAACUAAGAAUAAUAAAGCAGAAUUAUAAUUGCAUAUUGUGGAUCAGUCAGUAAAGUUGUCGAUUAUCGUACGCAACGAACUACAAAUUAUUCUUUAAACUGAUAAAUGUAUAAUCGACCGUGCAGCUGCAGCCUGCUUUUUGCCCCUUUUUGUUAAUCGAUAAGCACGCAAUCGCGAGAAGAGCAGCCAGUUAGGCGAGACGCCGCACGUGAGAAUCGCUUAAAAAUUCAAUAGCUAAACAUUCGGUUAAUGUUUCAUUAACCAAAGGCACGAUGCUCCUCAUGCAUUAGCACUGACGGCAAUACCGUUUCGCGUUUGCCACAUAUUACCAUCAACGGUUAUUAUCAUUAUAUUUGCAUCAACUCGGUGCUACAAUGAUUAUGAACACUAGCAUGGACAAAAAUAGCGCUCGCAGCGAAAGAAGAACGCAGUAUCAAAUACCGCCUCAGAAUCGUAAUUACGAAGUUAUGUGUAUCAGUGGCAAUUAAUUUAACAUUUUUUGCAACAAAUAUUUUACCUAAUAUAAAAAUCUCACUCUUCUUUUUUCUCGAAUUCGAAUUUUUUCGAUAUUUCACUUGUUAAAAAUGGCAGCGAUAUAAUACAGAAAAGAAUUCCUAGCAAAGCUCACGUAUUAACGAAAAUACGAAAUUGAUAUUUUAACUCUUUGAAAUUAAUCAAAGUGCUGAAAGGCAGAAAGAUUAAAUCAGGCCAGACAAUAUCCCUGAACUGCGUUAUUCGCUACCACGUCUAAUUUAAUAGUAAAUGGACUCGAAAGUUUUUAUGGGUUUUUAUAAGACCCGUACGGGUUCAAUUCCGCGACAGGCGCACACGCGGUGUCACUCGUGAUCCGCUGAAUCCGAAUGUUAUAUUUAAUUCUGCUUGGAAUUUGUCUGUCACUGACGCCCGUUUGAAUGGCUUUUUGCGGUCCGCAUUUGCGAUCUCAGUUUUACCGGAACCGACGUACCCGUGCGGCCAACGGUAACAACCUCGUAAUCGCGGAAAUGAGUAUCUGGAACGACAAAUCUGCUAGUCUCCCUCUUCCGUAACGUCGUAAUGACU